GACGUAGGGAGCGAGCGUUGUCCGGAUUCAUUGGGCGUAAAGAGCGCGCAGGCGGUUUGGUAAGUCGGAUGUGAAAUCCCGGGGCUCAACCCCGGACCUGCAUCCGAUACUGCCCGACUAGAGGUAGGUAGGGGAGAUCGGAAUUCCUGGUGUAGCGGUGAAAUGCGCAGAUAUCAGGAGGAACACCGGUGGCGAAGGCGGCGUCCUGGACCAACACUGACACUGAUGAGCGAAAGCCAGGGGAGCAAACGGG
rnacentral:rRNA from 1 species